GCCUUUGUGGCUUAGUCGUAGAGCAACUGAUUCGUAAUCAGUAGAUCGGGGGUUCAACUCCCCCCAAAGGCUCCA
rnacentral:tRNA from 1 species